AUGUACAUGCCUACAACAUAGCGUUAAUGCAAUGGAUACCAUUAGAAAUAUUCAGUUAAGCGUGCUUGGUUAGAGUAGUACUGGGAUGGGUGACCACCUAGGAAGUCCUAGUGUUUUACAUG
rnacentral:rRNA from 1 species